rnacentral:lncRNA from 1 species
UCUCCCCAAACACAUUUCUAUUUUAUUUUAGACCAAGGACCAGUUCAUUGCCUGUGCAAGGCAAAUUGCUUCCGAUGGGCAGGUGUUUGCUAAAUUUGGCCGCAUCAUUGCAAAGAACUGCCUCGACAAGAGAUGCUCCGCAGAGUUGCUGUGUGCCACAGAGCAGUCCCACACCAUCAGCAGCCAGCUCGGCAUUGUGGCCAGGGUAAAAGCAGUCACUGCAGAGAGCAAGUCGUCUUCUGAGCUGCUUGUGAGCAACGCGCAGAACCUAAUUCAAGCAGUUUUGCAUGUUCUGAAGGCAGCUGAGGCAGCAUGUGUCAAAGGUUUGCAACAGCCUCCGCCUGACUCUGAAGAGGCAAAAGUAGCUGCUUUUUGCAUUGAAUGGAGAAAAAACCUGUUGCGGCAUAGAGCCAAGGAAUCUUUAAACUCAGACAGGGAUGAAUUAGGCCUCCGCAAGACUCAAGCAAGGCCUGAACCCACCCUUGCAGCUAUGGUUCAAGAACAUCACCAGGCAUCCAAAAGCUGUUAAAGGAGCUACAAUUAUGGACCGCUACCCCCAAGAACAGGAGGGGACUUCCGCUAGAGAUUAACUGCACUG